UACAGAGGGUGCAAGCGUUAAUCGGAAUUACUGGGCGUAAAGCGUGCGUAGACGGUUACGUAAGUCAGAUGUGAAAGCCCCGGGCUCAACCUGGGAAUUGCAUUUGAGACUGCGUAGCUAGGGUGCGGAAGAGGGAAGCGGAAUUUCCGGUGUAGCGGUGAAAUGCGUAGAUAUUCGGAAGAACACCAGUGGCGAAGGCGACUUACUGGACAAAUAUUGACGCUGAGGUGCGAAAGCGUGGGGAGCAAACAGG
rnacentral:rRNA from 1 species